UACGGAAGGCAGCAGUGGGGAAUAUUGCACAAUGGGCGAAAGCCUGAUGCAGCUAUGCCGCGUGUAUGAAGAAGGCCUUAGGGUUGUAAAGUACUUUCAUCGGGGAGGAAAAACAAAACUAAUAAUUUUAUUUCUUGACGUUACCCGAAAAAGAAGCACCGGCUAACUCCGUGCCAGCAGCCGCGGUAAUACGGAGGGUGCUAGCGUUAAUCAGAAUUACUGGGCGUAAAAGAGCACGUAGGUGGUUUUUUUAAGUCAGAUGUGAAAUCCCUGGGCUUAACCUAGGAACUGCAUUUUGAAACUGAAAUACUAGAGUAUCGUAGAGGGAGGUAGAAUUCUAGGUGUAGCGGUGAAAUGCGUAGAUAUCUGGAGGAAUACCUGUGGCGAAAGCGGCCUCCUAAACGAAUACUGACACUGAGGUGCGAAAGCGUGGGGAGCAAACAGGGAUUAGAUACC
rnacentral:rRNA from 1 species